rnacentral:rRNA from 1 species
AGUGAACGCUGGCGGUAGGCCUAACACAUGCAAGUCGAACGGCAGCACAGUAAGAGCUUGCUCUUACGGGUGGCGAGUGGCGGACGGGUGAGGAAUACAUCGGAAUCUACUUUUUCGUGGGGGAUAACGUAGGGAAACUUACGCUACUACCGCAUACGACCUACGGGUGAAAGCAGGGGAUCUUCGGACCUUGCGCGAUUGAUUGAGCCGAUGUCGGAUUAGCUAGUUGGCGGGGUAAAGGCCCACCAAGGCGACGAUCCGUAGCUGGUCUGAGAGGAUGAUCAGCCACACUGGAACUGAGACACGGUCCAGACUCCUACGGGAGGCAGCAGUGGGGAAUAUUGGACAAUGGGCGCAAGCCUGAUCCAGCCAUACCGCGUGGGUGAAGAAGGCCUUCGGGUUGUAAAGCCCUUUUGUUGGGAAAGAAAAGCAGCAGGUUAAUACCCCGCUGUUCUGACGGUACCCAAAGAAUAAGCACCGGCUAACUUCGUG